ACGAACCAGGGAUUCACAAACGAACACAGCUCUGCUGUGCUUCAACUGCAAGCACAUCUGUCAGCCCCGACGCAGGGAGCAGCUCUGCUCUGCUCUGCUGCCAGCAGCCGAGUGCCUGAGCCCCGGAGGACGGAGCCACCAGCGAGGGAGGACGGCACAGCGCUGAAAGGCUCUCACUGCACAGGAACUCCAAAUAUUUGGACUUAAGAAGGAUUUCCAGAAACAAAAUGGGAUCUGCACGCCCCAGCGGGUCUUCCCAACAGGGAAAGGAAAGAGCAGAGCUGUGUUUUUCCUUCCCAAAAUGAAAACCAACGGGCCCAGCAUCGAGGCUGGGGCCACACGAGUGGCAGCACACAGCAGGCAGCUGCAGGACGCUCACACUGACCUCUCACUGCCUCCUGGGCGUUUGUUCUCCUGUGCACAGCAUCCAUAAACUUCUGAACGUCCUGGGCCGACCUCCUCAUUGCUGCCAUGGCUUCUCUCAGCUGAAGGGAAGGAAAAGAACGUGAAAGAGUGGGGAUUUUCAGCCUCGCUGAAUACAACGAUGUCCUGUGCCAGCAAAACCCCACUGCAGAAGUGCACCGGGAUCAGAUCUGUGCCAACUCACCAGGGUCUGAUCCUUGGGAACCUUGGGACUGCUAUCGCCUGGGGUUAGAGAGAAAAUAAGUGGUUUAAAACACACUGGGGAGGAAGAAUGCACCCUAGAAAGUCACCCAAAGAAAAGGGACCAGAGGGAAGCCUCCAUUUAAAAGCAUCCCCUGAUCCUGCCAGGAAAUUCACUCGAAAAAGGCAAUUUUACUUCCAAUCACUUCUAGAUGCAAGAAAUGCACCUGCAGCUCCUCCACAGCAAAGGACGUCCACCGUUUGACGUGGACAACAAUUAUUCCCAGCUCAGCACCUGACAGCCUGAACUCCAGGCACUGUGGGGCCCCGGCAGACCAUGGCAGUGCUGAUGUCCCUCAUGUGAGCUCACGGCUCCCAUCUGCUUCAGGGCCACCGUGGCUGAUGGGCAGCUCUACAGCACCCCGUUCUGAUCCCCCUCUGCUCCAGGAUGCUCCCAUCCCCGCUCCUUCCUCAUCACCACAGUAAGACACUGAACUGUUCUUCCAGCCCGAAUCAAUACUCAUGAUGUCGUCGUCGUCGUCAUCUGGGAUCUCAAUCACUUCUGUGGGUUUGGCAGCCAAGUCCUCCUCCUCAGAGCUGCUCUCACGGUAAUCCAGGCCCAGUUUGGAGUACAGAUCCUUCACCAACAUCUCACAUUUGUGAAAGUCCCUGAGGUGGGAAGAAAGAAAGAAGAAGAGACAAGAAAAGAUAAAGUGAGUCCAGAUGUAAAUCCCACAGCAUUGCAGAAAGAAACAGGAACCACUGGGGAGCUCAAAAUGAAACACAGCCACCGUGAAGAGGGAGAAGUAUCCACAAGAGGGGUUCACAGUCAGGGGGGCUGAUUUUAAUAAUCCCUCAAUAAUCACAUACAAGUCAACCAGCACGGCGUCAGCCUACUGGAAGGGAAACAGGCAGCGCUCAGAGAUCAGCCUUUGCCACCCGAUCUGCCCCAUCUCUGCUCUCCAAGACCCAACGCAGACCCACAGCCGCAAUUCCUCACCUCCAAGCAUCAUCGAAGAGGCGAUCGACGUGCGCCACCUCCUCUUCCUUCUGCUUCACGCACACCUCCAGCUCCUCCAGCUGCUGCUUCUUCUGCUUCACGUACUCAGACUUCUCCAGCUCCUUGUUGAUGAUGUCCUCCAGCUCCUCCAUGGAGAUUCCCAUCUCCUCCAUCACUUCUUUUUGCAGCUCUUUGAUGUCCUGGCAAUCCAUUUCUGCUGCACCCGGAACCACAGAGGAGUGGAGGUGGGGAUGGCGCUGUAGGGGUCGAUGAUGAGCUUGGCGCAGCGAACCAUCACGGCCAGCAGGAAGAGGCACGUGAGCACCACGAAGGCGAUGGCGAAGCCCUGAUCCACGUCGAUGGCCAUGCGGGCGGCACUCAGGCGUGCAGCCCCAGCUGCAUCCUGCAGGGCAGAGGAGGGUGGAAGAACAGGAGCAGCAAUCACAGGACAAAGCACCCCACUGUUCCCAGUGGCAUCCCUUCCAGCUUCCCUUCCCUGCACAGCCUGCCCGCUUUCCAGGAAAACCCGGGUUAAAAUAUGCCAUUAAUGUUGGGUACAGCCACACUGGUGGUUGUUAGGCACAGCAGGGCUUGGCUGAGCCCCCACAGAAUCGGGGAAAUCGUGGAAUCACGGAAUCACAGAAUACCUUGAGAUGGAAGGGACCAGUAAGGAUCUUCGAGUCCAGCAGACGUGGCUCGGGUUAGGAGGGGACAGGAGCAUGUGGGAAAGCCGUGCUAAGCAAACAGAGGUGUGCAAACAAGAGCAGAAGAGAAGGUUUGUUCAGGCUGGUGCCAGAAAAGCCACCAAACUUACA